AGCUGCACCUGCCAGCCUACACUACAGCCAUAGCAACUCGGAAUCUGAACCACAUCUGUGACCUAUAUCACAGCUCACGGCAAAACCGGAUCCAACCCACUGAGCAAGGCCAGGGACUGAACCUGCAUCCUCAUGGAUACUAGUAAGAGUUCGUUAUCGCGGAGCCACAACGGGACCUCCUGGUUAUCUAUUUUAAUCUAUGGCAGUGUGUCUAUGCUAGGAGGAUUGAAGUUUUAGAUAGGAUGGCCAGGGCAAGGCUUCUCUGGGGGAGGGGAAGGUUUGAAUAAAGCCAGAAGGAAGUGAAAGGAAGCCCUGUGGCUAGCUGAGGGGUGGGCACGCCAAGACUCCAAGUAGUAAAUGUUAUACACCUAAGUUCCGCUUGAAAAGAGAGAAACGGUCUGGUGUUUCCUGCUAUUGGAGGUCUGGGACAUGAGGACAAACCAGCACAAAUUUCAUGGAAAUAGGAAGGUGCACAGGAGAUGACGGUGUUCUGGAAACUCAGUGGAGAAAAGACUUAAGGAGGAUAAAGUGACCCAGACUGUCAAAUGCUGCCGCCAGUUGAGUGAGCAGAGAACAGAGGACGGAGGAGCAGCACGGGUGAGACCCUGACCGAAGUGGCUUCAGCGAGAAUAGUGGAGAGAGACUGGAGACGGUCAGCAUGCACCAUUAUUUUGAAGGAUUUUGCUUUAAGGGGGAGCAGAGAAAACAGUCCUGUAGCCGGAAGCACAGAGGGGGGACAGCUACAGCAGAAAACAAGGCCUAUACAGAGCAUAAGGACCAUGAGAAAAAUUUACUCCUUCAGAGGAGCGUUGUCUCAGGAUGCGAAAGAGCUGCUGAGGGAGGGAGGCUCCCUGAACACUUACCAAACAGAAGCAAGAUGGCAGACCGACUGCCACCACUGAGUGCCACCCAACAUCCAAGCAAGACCCGAUCCUAAUCUUAGACGAGACUUUCCAGAGAACCAAUGAAGAGGAACCCGUCCAUGUCAUUUUAUGAGGCCGUCUAACCUCGAUGCCAAAACCUGACAAGGACACAAGGAAGGGAAAAUUAUAGGCCAAUCUCACACGUAAAUAUAAAUGCAAAAGUUUUACACACAGCUUUGGUGCAGGAUACCCUCGGUCUCAAUUAUUUGUUGCCCCAUCCUAUGGGAGAACGAUACUUCCACUCUCUGUGGGUAUCAGGCGUGGUUAAAGGACUUGCUUAAGCCGAUAAAAUGUGAGCAAAAGUGACCCACCUCCUUUUCAAGUGGAGGAUUCAGGAACCAUUGUGUGGCUCUGCCCUUAAUGCUUCUGUGCCCUGAACAGAUUGUCCUAGACGAGGUCUGGUCUACCUGUCGGGGUUGCAGAACAAAGAAAAGGUGAAUACUGCAGCCCAAAUUUAACCUGAGCACGAGAUAAACCCUGUUGCUCCAAACCACUGAGGUCCGGGUGUUGCUUCUUCCUGCAGAACUAGAGAAAGUUCUGCUCCUACACCAGCUGCUCAGCCUGGUGGUUGUUGGUCUGGGUGGAGAUGUGACUGGUGGGUAAUGCUUCUUCUGGGUAAUAUAAACAAAAAAGAAGUACGCACAAGUAUGAAUAGCCGUCUAAAAAGGCUGGCAAAUUUUCGUUCACGUACUGAGAGUCUCAGAUGACGCCAGCGAAGACAGGGAAAAGGAAGUGAGGGUGGACAUUGAGAUGAUAAAGUAGAAAAUCAAAUUACUAAUUAGUGGACACUCCAGGGCAUAAUUAUUUCACCCCACAAAUAAUUAGAGGCACUGUCUAGGCUGAGGUAGCUGAGAUGUGGACACCAGCAGGAAAGGAGUUUGAAAAUGGGUCUUGACUGCUUGAUUCAUCUCUUAAAGAAACUCAGCUCCAACUGCCCCAAAGAGUCCACUGGAGCUUGCACUCAGCAGAGUUCAGAUACUCAUCUUUAGCAGUGAAACUCCUGCCACUAACGAAUUUCCUGUGCUGUUACACCGCUAAGCUGUCAUUGUCUAAAUACUGAUUAGUGUCUUUAAAAAAUACGAGUGAUGCCACAAAGGAAAAAACAAAACAAAAACCAAACAGCGCCUUGAUUUAACAGCCUGACACGUUGAUACAGAUACAGAUGCCAAGCGUUUUAUUUUGUUUUAUUGUUAAUUAUGAUAAAACAUACAUAACAUAAAA